CCUGUAAACAGUAAUAGUUUUAUAGGCUGUUUUUAGCCCUCUGUAAACACCGAUACCAAAGUAUUGUACAAGACAAAUUGCGGCAAGUAUACAUCCUUGAAAAAUCUCUCAAUUAUUACAAAAUUUGGAAGUUACGUGAUUUCGUUUCAGAAAAAGUGAGAGGGGAAUGAGAAGCACGAAAGAGAUUAAAGGAACUAAGAUUUCGUUCAAAAGGAAUUCGAUAUUAUAAAAAUUGAAUAUACAUAAAGCUGAUAGAGGAGAAACUAACUUUCAAGUUAAAGUCUGUUCGCGUUAAAUUUCUUAAUUCCAGAUUUAAAAUACUUCAGCGUGCCAAAUUUCAAAUGUUUAGAAUAUAUUUCUCAAUAAGAUCGCUAGAAAUAUCGAAGAGCGAUAAACUUAAAUAGAAGACUACAAUUUCUUAGAAAUACAGUUUUCAUGGAAAUUUGUAAAUAUAACGGUAUGUGUAUAAUCGAUCUCAUAAACAACAAGGAAUUUCUAAAUUUGAAAUACAUAAAAAAAGAAAAACAGCGCCGUAAAAUAUAUCUUUUCGCUAAGAUUAUGUUUACGUUAAAAUUUCCCUGUUUGGUAUCUGGGAUAGUAUCUAACAAGUACGAGGAUAAUAAUGCCACAAAUUUAGGGCUUGUAAUGCUAGCAGACAGUAAACGCGCUAAAAAUAAGAAACUUAUGGACGAUAAUUUGCAAAGGUGUUUGUUGGCAUCCUGUCGCUUUCUAAGUAUAGCGGACACAAUUUUUCGCGGUCGAUUUCUUCAUCAUUCUUGUUAAACCAGAUUUUAUAAUUAUAUAUAUUUACAACUGCUAUUUAAAACUUGCAGUAAAAAAUAGAUUUCAUUAACACUUUGUACCAUACUACUCAGUAUUAACACAUAAUGCCAUCUAGUGCCAAGAUGAAAAUCACAUUAGCGUAUUACCUUUUUUAUUUAAUAAAAUUUAAAAUUUAUAAACUUA